AUGCAUGUCUAAGUAUAAGCAAUUAUACCGCGAAACUGCGAAUGGCUCAUUAAAUCAGUUAUCGUUUAUUUGAUAGUACCUUACUACAUGGAUACCUGUGGUAAUUCUAGAGCUAAUACAUGCUAAAAACCCCGACUCACGAAGGGGUGUAUUUAUUAGAUAAAAAACCAACGCCCUUCGGGGCUCCUUGGUGAAUCAUAAUAACUUAACGAAUCGCAUGGCCUUGCGCCGGCGAUGGUUCAUUCAAAUUUCUGCCCUAUCAACUUUCGAUGGUAGGAUAGGGGCCUACCAUGGUGGUGACGGGUGACGGAGAAUUAGGGUUCGAUUCCGGAGAGGGAGCCUGAGAAACGGCUACCACAUCCAAGGAAGGCAGCAGGCGCGCAAAUUACCCAAUCCCGAUACGGGGAGGUAGUGACAAUAAAUACUGAUACGGGGCUCUUUUGGGUCUCGUAAUUGGAAUGAGAACAAUUUAAAUCCCUUAACGAGGAACAAUUGGAGGGCAAGUCUGGUGCCAGCAGCCGCGGUAAUUCCAGCUCCAAUAGCGUAUAUUAAAGUUGUUGCAGUUAAAAAGCUCGUAGUUGAACCUUGGGUCUGGCUGGCCGGUCCGCCUCACCGCGUGCACUGGUCCGGCCGGACCUUUCCUUCUGGGGAGCCCCAUGGCCUUUACUGGCUGUGGGGGGAACCAGGACUUUUACUGUGAAAAAAUUAGAGUGUUCAAAGCAGGCCUUUGCUCGAAUACAUUAGCAUGGAAUAAUAGAAUAGGACGUGCGGUUCUAUUUUGUUGGUUUCUAGGACCGCCGUAAUGAUUAAUAGGGAUAGUCGGGGGCAUCAGUAUUCAAUUGUCAGAGGUGAAAUUCUUGGAUUUAUUGAAGACUAACUACUGCGAAAGCAUUUGCCAAGGAUGUUUUCAUUAAUCAGGAACGAAAGUUAGGGGAUCGAAGACGAUCAGAUACCGUCGUAGUCUUAACCAUAAACUAUGCCGACUAGGGAUCGGACGGGAUUCUAUAAUGGCCCGUUCGGCACCUUACGAGAAAUCAAAGUUUUUGGGUUCUGGGGGGAGUAUGGUCGCAAGGCUGAAACUUAAAGAAAUUGACGGAAGGGCACCACCAGAAGUGGAGCCUGCGGCUUAAUUUGACUCAACACGGGGAAACUCACCAGGUCCAGACAAAAUAAGGAUUGACAGAUUGAGAGCUCUUUCUUGAUUUUGUGGGUGGUGGUGCAUGGCCGUUCUUAGUUGGUGGAGUGAUUUGUCUGCUUAAUUGCGAUAACGAACGAGACCUUAACC
rnacentral:rRNA from 1 species